UUUGGCAUUGUGUUAUUGGCUCUGUUUAGGUUGCAGAAUGUCAGGAAAGGCUUGUAAUAUUCGAUGUGAGAGAACACACUUCUCUCCAAGCAUUGCUCCACUGGCCGGCUAACAUUCUCGUUUCGCAAGACAUAAUUUAUUUGCUUUCCUAUUUCUCCUCCAGAAGUUAAAAGCACUCCCAGCCCAAUCAUGCAAACUGUCCAGGGCUGUGAAGAGACAUUCACAAACUUUUUAUCAUCAUGAGAGGAAAAGGUAUAUGACAGAAAAUUAAAGAGGAGGAAGGAGACGAAGUUGUGGUAAAUAGUAGACUAGCGUUUUAUCUUCAAAAUGGGAUGCAAUCUCAGAACACAGAGUAGAGUGUUGGCAAUAAAACUGGCAUGUGCCUGCAGCUUCAAUUUCAGAAUCAUAUUUUCCAGACUUCUUCCUAUCUUUGAGACCACUCUGUACUAUGAGGAUCUUUGAGGUCAUUCUGUACUAUGAGGAUUUCUUAAUACGUGAAUAUGUACUUGCGUCUUUGAUGGACU